GACUAUAACUUAAAUGAGAUGUAACGUUUCCGUCUUUAUUGAAAUUUCAUCUUUAAGUUUCACCAUUAAUUCUCUAACUCAAGCUCUCCCACGACGAUUGGUUUUAAUUAUCUCUUUUUUCACUUCCAUUGUAAGUCCCUAAUUUCUUCAACUAUAAAUAAGGAUGUAGAGUACUAGGAAUCUCACUGAUUCAUACAAAACCCUCAACAAUGGCUUGGUGGCUGAUUACAAGGGGAACGCUUACGUCACCAACUCAGGAAAAACUUCAUCUGGAAAGUGGAUCAUGACGCUGUAGCCUCAAUCUUCUCCAGAUCGCUGUGAUCUAACUCGCAGCCGCUGCUGGCUGAAGCUGACGCAACUUUCGCGAUUUCGGUUUGAACGGAAUUGUGUACAGCAGCGAAGGAUAUCUCUUGCUGGUCUUGGUGGUGAGAGCAACACAUGGAAGAUGUUUAAGGUCAACGAAGAAACCGGGACGGCGAGUAUUGUGUUAAUGAAUGGAGAUCUGGCUGCGGCAGAUGUGAUGUUGAGGAGACGGGGAGAGAUACGGUUGUGGUGGUGUCCCAGAAGAAGCUUUGGUUUGUUCCGAGCCAAGAUAAUAUGGAUAUAAAAAAUCAGGUAAGUGAUCAUCAAUUUCUUAUCAGUACAGAGGAUGUGUUUUCCUAUACUGUUGCACUUGGAGUCUAAUGUUACUGAAGCGAUUCUUAGCAGAACCUUCUUCAAAGACUUUGAAGCUUCUGGGUUUCAGGAAAACGUGUCAACCCGGAUUGUAAACCUUAAGAGGAGGAACAAAGCAUUUCUCUGCCGAGAGUAGCCAAUAUUGUGACCGGCAAAUGAGUGACGUCGUUUCAAUGCUUUACUAGAACAGAGUCUGGCCUAAACAGCUUUAGAGGGGUUUGUUGGUGCGUCGAAGAUGGUUUGGUAACUAUUAGCUAACUUGGUGAACAUUGGUUUGCAAAUCUUUCACGUGGAGGAAGUCAACCGAUCUGAUCCUGUUUACAUGGAAGCAACUGGUGACUGGUUUAAGGGUCUGGUUCGAGCUAUGCUUCAACCAGUUAUAAUAUUGUUGAGGUCUGAUUAAAAUUGGGGAUGACUUUUGUGAGUAAAUAAUUGAAAGAUGACAGCGACUUUUACAAUGAAAUGUAAGAUAUGUGCAUUUUUCUUAUAAAGAUAAUUUACUCU